AACAAGAUACAAAGCAUUAAAACAUGUUAAAAACACAACAGCCUUAAUAAACGCAGAGUAGUUUGGACCCAGAAGCGGGGUUCAUACGUCAUCAACCAGAUUGGCCGAUUUACAUGACUGACCUUUCCUUUUAAUCAUUUGAGCCAAUAGAGUCACUGCUUUUACAGCCAAUCCCACCAAUCACAAAUUGCAAAGUGAGAAAAAUACGUGGGGCAGAUGCAUGACACUUGCUAUUGUCCAAAGAAAUCUCUGUAACCGGGCAGAAAAUGGUGAUUUUUUUUUUCUUUUAAAACAGAUUAACCAAAUUGUAGCAGUGGAAAUUUGUUUUGGAUGCAAGACAACACAGCUGUGGAUACCACACAUAUCUAUAUUUACAUAACAGACCUGGCGUCGCGGCCAAUGAAACAAGAUGUUCCACUUCCUGCCCCCGGUACCGGGGGCGUUCGGGUUUAAAAGUUUGUGUCAAAUACAGGGCUAGAUUUGUAUCUUCAUAGCAGCUGCAAAGGAUUCUACUGCCUGCAGACAGGUUCUGGGGCCUGCCUGUGAAAGAUUGAAGC